rnacentral:misc_RNA from 1 species
AAAAUUUUUAGGACAAUAUGUGCCAAUUUCUAUAUCUAUUCUGAAGAUACCAUAUUUAAGCAGCUUGACAAACAUAAUAGGAAUGGGAGUGAACUAGAAUCAAAUAUAUUCUUAGAGUCACAUAGUAUUUUCAUUACAUAAAUGAUUGAUUUAAAAAACCAGGUUCUAGCACCAAGCAGCCAUCUGUUCUUUAAUUCACUAUCAGAUAUUUCACACGCUAAUCCAUAUAUCACUAAAACAUGCCAAAAUAAUGACAUUUACCAUAUUUUUUUGAGCCAGAGUAAUUGACACCACUUUUUUUCAAUAACUUUUAUCCAGGUCUCUUGUUUAGUGAUAGCAUACAACAAUUUCAACAUUUGUUUCGGAGAAUAAUACUGAUAGCAGCCUGGGUCACGUGAUUUUCUGACAUUUUUGAGGUUGAGAAAUGCAUUACUAUUGCUUUUAUCUCUUUGGAUAGACAAACUCUAAGAAUCAAAUAUUAUGGAAAAGGCAAAAUGUAAACGAUACCACUUCCAUU